AUAAGCACCGGCUAACUCUGUGCCAGCAGCCGCGGUAAUACAGAGGGUGCAAGCGUUAAUCGGAAUUACUGGGCGUAAAGCGAGCGUAGGUGGCUUGAUAAGUCAGAUGUGAAAGCCCCGGGCUUAACCUGGGAACGGCAUCUGAUACUGUUAGGCUAGAGUAGGUGAGAGGAAGGUAGAAUUCCAGGUGUAGCGGUGAAAUGCGUAGAGAUCUGGAGGAAUACCGAUGGCGAAGGCAGCCUUCUGGCAUCAUACUGACACUGAGGUUCGAAAGCGUGGGUAGCAAACAGGAUUAGAUACCCUGGUAGUCCACGCCGUAAACGAUGUCUACUAGUCGUUGGGUCCCUUGAGGACUUAGUGACGCAGCUAACGCAAUAAGUAGACCGCCUGGGGAGUACGGCCGCAAGGUUAAAACUCAAAUGAAUUGACGGGGGCCCGCACAAGCGGUGGAGCAUGUGGUUUAAUUCGAUGCAACGCGAAGAACCUUACCUGGUCUUGACAUAUCUAGAAUCCUGCAGAGAUGCGGGAGUGCCUUCGGGAAUUAGAAUACAGGUGCUGCAUGGCUGUCGUCAGCUCGUGUCGUGAGAUGUUGGGUUAAGUCCCGCAACGAGCGCAACCCUUGUCCUUAGUUACCAGCGGUUUGGCCGGGAACUCUAAGGAUACUGCCAGUGACAAACUGGAGGAAGGCGGGGACGACGUCAAGUCAUCAUGGCCCUUACGACCAGGGCUACACACGUGCUACAAUGGUAGGUACAGAGGGCAGCUACACAGCGAUGUGAUGCGAAUCUCAAAAAGCCUAUCGUAGUCCAGAUUGGAGUCUGCAACUCGACUCCAUGAAGUAGGAAUCGCUAGUAAUCGCGGAUCAGAAUGCCGCGGUGAAUACGUUCCCGGGCCUUGUACACACCGCCCGUCACACCAUGGGAGUUGAUUGCACCAGAAGUGGUUAGCCUAACCUUUUAGGAAGGCG
rnacentral:rRNA from 1 species